rnacentral:rRNA from 1 species
CACGUAGUUAGCCGUGGCUUCCUCAUAAAGUACCGUCACUUGCAUGUCAUUCCCUACAUGCAUCGUUCUUCCUUUAUAACAGAGGUUUACAUACCGAAAUACUUCCUCCCUCACGCGGCGUUGCUCGGUCAGGGUUCCCCCCAUUGCCGAAAAUUCCCUACUGCUGCCUCCCGUAGGAGUCUGGGCCGUGUCUCAGUCCCAGUGUGGCCGUCCACCCUCUCAGGUCGGCUACGCAUCGUCGCCUUGGUAGGCCGUUACCCUACCAACUAGCUAAUGCGCCAUAAGUCCAUCCUUCAGCUAUCCCGUGGGAUAUUUAAUAUGUCGAUCAUGCGAUCUUCAUACCUAUGCGGUCUUAGCUAUCAUUUCUAAUAGUUAUCCCCCUCUUAAGGCCAGGUUACUUAUGUAUUACUCACCCGUUCGCCACUCAUAUCCGAAGAUAUGCGUUCGACUUGCAUGUAUUAGGCACGCCGCCAGCGUUCAUCCUGAGCCAGGAUCAAA